rnacentral:rRNA from 1 species
GACGAACGCUGGCGGCGUGCUUAACACAUGCAAGUCGAACGGUAAGGCCCUUCGGGGUACACGAGUGGCGAACGGGUGAGUAACACGUGGGUGAUCUGCCCUGCACUUCGGGAUAAGCCUGGGAAACUGGGUCUAAUACCGGAUAGGACCCUGGGAUGCAUGUCCUGGGGUGGAAAGCUCUUGCGGUGUGGGGAUGGGCCCGCGGCCUAUCAGCUUGUUGGUGGGGUGAUGGCCUACCAAGGCGACGACGGGUAGCCGGCCUGAGAGGGUGACCGGACACACUGGGACUGAGAUACGGCCCAGGCUCCUACGGGAGGCAGCAGUGGGGAAUAUUGCACAAUGGGCGCAAGCCUGAUGCAGCGACGCCGCGUGAGGGAUGACGGCCUUCGGGUUGUAAACCUCUUUCAGCACCGACGAAGCGCAAGUGACGGUAGGUGCAGAAGAAGGACCGGCCAACUACGUGCCAGCCGCCGCUGUAA